GAGGCGAGGGGGCUGAGGCGCCUCCUAUCAGCAGAGCUCUGCGCCGCUGCUCCAGCCCGCGCGGCUGCUUGCAGGUGAAUUGAAAGUCGUUGGCGGGGAGGGAAGGACACAGCCGCCGCCGCCGCCUCCUCUGCUUCCUCCUGCCUCUGCUGCUGCUGCGUCCUGGUGGGGCAGCCGAGGCGCGUGAAACCCGGACCCCCAGCCGAGCCCGGCGGCGUUUCUCCUUCUGCCGCUGCAGGGCAGCUGCUGCGUGCGCCCGUGCCCAGGAGGCGCCCGCCUCAGGGGAGGCACCGGCCGGCCAGGCAUGUCUUCGCCGAGGGGCUCCCCGCUCGCCAGAGACCUCGACGGAGCGGGAAGGACAGGCAGCCUCAAGCGCGCAAGUAAGUCUCCCCGAAAGUUUCGCCUUCGCAGCCGGGGGUGGGGGAGGCCGUAUGAUUUGCUGUGAGAUAAUCUGCUCUCCUCAUAGUUUCUGGGUUAUGAUGACUCGGCGGCAGUCUGCACAUGCUCAGAGGCGCGCUUAUCUUUAUUGCUUCACCUUUCCCGCGCCUUAGAAAUAGAACCCCCUUUCCUCUAGCCUAUAAAUGGUGCCCCGGUUAGUACCAGCUGCGGAACUGAGCCCGCGUCUCGCAACCUUCCUGCGUGGCUAGGAAUGGCUCGAGGCUCAUGUCUUUCGUUUCGACGGCUGGAGGAAGGACUUCACUUGCGCCUAUGGAUAAUGAGAAGUCGUCUUGUGUUUCCAUGUCCCCUAAGCUUUGGGGAAGACUGGCUAGAGUGGGUGUGAGGAGCAUGUCACCCGUGGGUGUGGAAGGGGAUUUCUCGGAGCAGGAGGGAGGCUCUUCCAAGUCCGGUUAAGGAGACUUUGAGGCUGUAGUCUUCUGUGCACUUAAAAGUGGGAGUACAUCCCAUGGAACACACUGGGAUUUGCUUCCAUUUAAACGUGCUGUAGGAUUGAGUUGUGUGUGCUUCAGUGGGUGAUAACCACACAAAUGGGGGUGGGGUGGGGGGUUAAGGGGACUGGUCACUCUUUUGUGCCACUUUCCUUGAUCUCCCCAAACCAUCCCCUUGCGAGAGCAUUCUUGGUUGUGGGAUAACAAGAGACUUUGACAUAUUAACUGUGUGGUGAGGACUGGGAGACUGUUUCUGUUCUGUUCAAAGACACUUUUUUUUUUUGCAUGGCAAACUUUACUAGCACUUUGGAAGGGCAGAAUUCUAAGGGUUGGAGAAUGCGGUAUGUGUGGGUCCUGCCACCCAGGAGUCAACCAUGUUUCAGAUUUGGUUUUUGCACCCCUGCAUUUCCAUUGCUCAUUCCUGUCCAUCCAUGAUAUGGUCAUGGCCAUCUAGUGUGAUGCUGAUUUUGCUGAUCUUACCUUGGGAUUGUUCACUGUUUCCUUUUUUCUCCCGAUCUUUCCUCUUCACCUCUGCACCCAUCCAUCAUCUGCAAGGAGGCUAAUUUGGGAGCCAGUGGUGACCUUGGAGCAUUCUUCCUAGCCAGUAGACCUAUAGAACAUGUACCUUCUUUCUGGGCUGCAGUCUUCUGCUUUGGGCAGGGUUCUGGCAACCUUGGACUCUGGAUUCUACAUGCAUUAUUUGUAUGUGUAUGUAUGUAUAAUCUUUCCCUGGGACCAAGUCCUUCGCUUCAAUGCUUAUUCCGCUGUGCGUUUGGCUCGCGUUGCCCUUGAGCAAGGGAUUUGAAUUAAGUUGCCCAAACUUCUUUCUCCUAGGCAAACUUCACCGCUUGUGCUCUGUAGUUGGUGGCUGGCUCUGACUGCAGCGAGUUAAAUGCUGCUGCUUCUUGCCCUGUGGAUAUAUGCUGAGCUCUGCAGAAGGACCUGCUACAGCAGCAGUUUGCAUUGGCAGAUAAUCUUCUGGACUUGUUCCUUGUCUGAUGCAGGGGAGCAGGGUUGCCUGAAUGAUGGGAAUUAUAACCUUUGGUUCUAGGCAGCCUUUUGGGAAGGAGAGGUAAUUUAGGUACCUUUUGAGAUUAACACUGUUUUAAUUAACUCGAGCAGGCUAAUCGCUGGGCACAGGAUUGGUUCAGGCUGUUACCUGAAAAUGGGGGAAAGGCAUGCUAAGAAUAGUGAAAUAAUACUGUGUCCUUUUAAUUGGGUUGCUUUUUUAUACUCCAGUGACUUCCUGCCUAUAAUUUGAGACCCCUUUUUAGCCUCUAAUAAAUAGUAGCUACCCUUGAGAGAUUGUUUGCAUCUGUACACCACGGUUGGAAGGCUCUGUAAUCAUAAAUACUUUAUUGUGCAAAAUUACCCUUCUUAUUAUAAGAUGCAUGAGGAGUUGCUGCUGCUGCUGCUGCCACCUCGCAGAAUGGAGAUCAGUGUUUCCUUAGGUAAAUUGGGGAGGAGAUCCAUGUCUGUAUGACUAUAUGUACCUUUUAUAUGUAGUACUUUCUAGCAUACUAGGUAUUUUGCAAUCAUUGACUUGCAUCCUAGGGGAGGUUAACAUAAAAAUAAACUCUCAAAAGGAAAGUUUCUCCUCUUCACUACAAUACACAAAAAUGAUAACAUUUGCAGAACGCAGUCACUGCUUCAGCCGUAAAAGCAGAGAUUAAAAUCACAGAGGUGAUGAGCCUUUCCUUAUUUUUUCCAGGCGUCAUCAGGUGCUAAAAAGAUAACAAAUGCAGGGUCAGGCAAACUUCCCCAGGGAGAGAGUUACAAAGCCAUAAUGCAGACCCUAUUUCUGGCUACCACCUACCUAAUGUCUUGAUGACUGGGGAACACAGAAAAGAGCCUCUGAGGCAGAUUGCAAAGCAGGGCUUUUAAAAAAAGGAAAAUGUAGAACUGCCCGGUGGUACGUGGUUACAAUUUGCAUGCAAAACACACACUGCUGUGACACACCUGUGUGUUUUCCUAGUCUAUGCGUAUGUGCAUUCUUGCCGCCACAUUUAGAAACCUACGUAGAGUAGGAUAAAAUCCUUGGAGCUGGAAUUUGACAACACUAAUACAGAAGAGUGUUAUACCUAGACACAAAUGUUUCAUGUAGCUUUGACCCCAAAAGGUCUUUGUUAAGAAUGCCGUAUUGGAUAUUAUUGGAAUCAUUGCUCUUAGAAUAUUAACACUGACAACUUCGCAUGGCUUAUCAGGAAAGGGGGGGUCUCCGUGUUCUAGAACUAUUUCCUUCAGAUUAGAAAUAUUGGUGAAUACUCCGUCAAGCAGUCUUUCUCAGCCUUGGGUCCCUAGAUGUUGUUGGACUACAACUCCUGUGAUUCCUAGCUAGCAUGGUCAGUGGUCAGGGAUGAUGGGAGUUGUAGUUCAAGAACAUAUGGGGACCCAAGCUUGAGAAAGGCUGCUGUAGAGGGUAGCAAUGGAGUCUGUUGGGAGUGUUUUUGGCAGGGGGAGGUGAAAUAGGCAUGCUUGAUCAGGGUCUGGAAAUCUAAGGGAGCUUGGGCUUCUUAAUGUACUUUUCAAAUUGACCUCAUACACUUUUUACAUCACCUAACAUAACACAGCUUGCAGUUUAAAAUGUUCUUAUUCAAAUGCUCAUUUUGUGUAUGGCUGCCCAUUAAACAAGAGCUUGGGCUUGCUUAUAUGUAAGAAGGUAUUUAUAGAUUGUACAGGGCUUUACUAUAUGUGUGAACUGAAACAAAAAAACUGAACUGCUUUCUAUUUUCAAAAUACAAUAAAACCUUGUAAUAAAGUAACACAAAACAGUACCUAUACCAGUGCUAGAUAAUUCCCAUCUUAACAUAAUCAUACUAAAAUCACAAUGAUCUAACUCAAGAAAAAGAACCUGUUUUAACUCUGUUGCAUCCCAUAGCUGUGAGGCCAUGAACAAAAAGGCCCUGUUACCACCCUUUCAGAUUGUACCCAGAAAUGAACCAAGGGUCUUCUUCUAAAAAACUGGCUUGAUGCCUUCCAUUUUUCCUGCUCCUAGUCAGUAAUGCGUAUGUUGUGUUUUGAACUAUUUCUGUUAAAAGGCAGCCGCAUGCUUGAUAAACUGCAGAACGAAGGAGCAUUUCUGCCAAGAGGCGGGUGGUAGACCAAACAGGAAAGUGGGUGGGAUUCAGACUGUGUGGAGUGUGGGCUGAGGGAUUGUUAUGUUCAUGUUGGCUCACCUACUUCAUUUAUUUAUCACCAGCUGUAUAAUAACGAAGGGCUGUAGCUCAGUGGUAGAGCAGGUUCCCAGGUUCAAUUCCUGGCAUUUCCAGGCAGGGCUGGGAGGGACUUCCUGUCAGAAAUCUGUUUGUUUGCCAAUAUACAACAGCUGUGUGAAGCAAGGCAGCACAACUGUUACUCCUCUGCUUUUCUUAGGCCUACCAAAAUGUCACCAUGCUUUCAAGUUCUCCAGAAUGCUUUAUUAGGCUAUAUGGCUGGGGUCAGCAUAUUCAGCAGGGGGCCAGUCCACUGUCCCUCAGACCUUGUGGGGGCCGGACUAUAUUUUG